UAGGGAAUCUUCGGCAAUGGGGCGAACCCUCGACCGAGCAACGCCGCGUGAGUGAAGAAGGUUUUCGGAUCGUAAAGCUCUGUUGUAAGAGAAGAACGUGUGUGAGAGUGGAAGGUUCACACAGUGACGGUAACUUACCAGAAAGGGACGGCUAACUACGUGCCAC
rnacentral:rRNA from 1 species